CAUUACUUGUAAGCUUCCUCGUUAGUGUCUAUUCUAGAGGUAUUCUCAAGUCUUCAAAGCUAUUUCUUCUCGUUGUGGUAACGUAAAACUACUAACCAAGCUCAAGAUAGCUUUAAGAUCUUGUAAGGACAAGGAGUGCUGUAUAAGUAAGUACUGACUUAGAGCUGAUAUUAAAUAACUUUUCUUGUUUCUUCCGAUGGUGGCUAGAUCUGCGUUUAAAAGAGAAUGCUCCACCUUCUCUGCUCCUACUUUCCCGCACCUUGUACUUAAUAGAUUUAAAGCCACAGCCUGUACCAGAAAAUAAGAUAGGUGAAGCUGAGGAAGUGAUGACAUCCGUUCCUGAGCAUCAAGAAACCCUGGUGGAUCCUGCCCCCGCUGUACAGGGAAGAAAGAAUGAAGAAUUUAUAUCUCAGCCAACAGAGAAAUUGCCGGUGUCAGAAGUGCCAGUUAAGCCUCCCCCACGAGAGACUAAACUGGAAGCACCUCAGAGCAGCAAGGCUGGUGCCAACGGAGUCUAGCCUGAAGCCAGCAAGGACAAUCUACCGCUGGAAGAGAAAAGCUUUCAUCUCUCCACCUCCUUAAAAGGGAAGAAUGAUUUUCCAGCUGGCUGCUUUUACACAGAAACGUGUCAGUAGUCCUAAGGGGCUCUCUCCCUCUCUUCCAAGCUUAUUAGCAGUCAGGCAGUGCUAAGACUCUCCAGAUGACACCAGCUUCUCAUUUGUACUCCAUUCCCUCUACCCCCCCACCAUUUUAACUUAUGUUGUAAAUAUGUUGAUACUUGCA